GUAAUCCAAGGUAGUGAAGACUGAAUGAUCCUUUAAGAGGACAGGCUGGAACCAAUUUUCCCAUCAUUGAAUAGUCACUGAGUAAAUUAGCUUCGGUUAUCAGCAAGUGAAGUGACUGUGAAGAAGAGUUUGUCCUUUUGGUGAUGGUCAAACGAGAGGGAAUAGAAGGAGAAGAGUUUUCCAAUUGCCAGAAAUUGUCAGAAAUAUAUAGAGCAUUGCAUGUGGAACACAGGGAAGCAAAGAGUGGGGAUGUUUUCUAGCCACAGGUGUUGCCAGAACAUUAGAAGGUGCCAAGCAGUGAUUUGGUAAUGGCAGGUUUAUGCUGGGACAGAUCCGGCAGACAUGCUGUGAAGAAAAGAAUUAAGGAAACUUGGUAAAAUUAAAUCAAGGACAUGAAACAAAGAGGGUAUCCUAACACAUGAGUAGUAAUUUGUGAAACUUUGUUUUUGAGCAGAGCAGUUACUGGAAUCACGGUCUCUCGCGAUGGAUCUUCAGUAUUCACAACAUCCCAAGAUUCCACCUUGAAGAUGUUUUCUAAAGAAUCAAAAAUGCUACAAAGAAGUAUAUCAUUUUCAAAUAUGG
rnacentral:sRNA from 1 species